rnacentral:rRNA from 1 species
ACUGCUCAGUAACACGUCGAUAAUCUGCCCUUAAGCCUGGGAUAACCUUGGGAAACUGAGGCUAAACCCGGAUAGAUGAUGGAAACUGGAAUGUUCCAUCCUUUAAAGGCAACACUUAAGGAUGAGUCGGCGGCGGAUUAGGUUGUUGGUGAGGUAAUGGCUCACCAAGCCAGAGAUCCGUACGGGCCAUGAGAGUGGUAGCCCGGAGAAGGACACUGAGAAACUGGUCCUAGCCCUACGGGGUGCAGCAGGCGCGAAAACUUUACAAUGCACGAAAGUGUGAUAAGGGAAUCCUAAGUGCUCGUACACAGUACGGGCUUUUGCCAAGGGUAAAUACCUUGGAGAAUAAGUGGUGGGUAAGACUGGUGCCAGCAGCCGCGGUAACCCCAGCGCCACAAGUGGGAUCCACAAUUAUUUGGCCUAAAGCGUCCGUAGCUGGCCUGGUAAAUCUUUUGUGAAAUCGGAAGGCUCAACCUUCCGGCGUGCAGAAGACACUGCCUGGCUUGAGACCGGGAGGGGUAAGGAGUAUUCAUAGGGAACCGGUAAAAUGGGAUAAUCCUAUGAAGACUACCUGUGGCGAAGGCGCCUUACCAGCACGGGUUUGACAGUGAGGGACGAAGGCUAGGGGAGCGAACCGGAUUAGAUACCCGAGUAGUCCUAGCAGUAAACGCUGCCGGCUAGGUGUUGCACCAUCCAUGUGAUUGUGCAGUGUCGUAGCGAAGGCAUUAAGCCGGCCGCCUGGGAAGUAUGGUCGCAAGACUGAAACUUAAAGGAAUUGGCGGGGGAGCAC